GGAGGGGGCAAGCGUUAUUCGGAUUUACUGGGCGUAAAGCGCACGUAGGUGGCAUGGUAAGUCAAAGGUGAAAGCCCUCGGCUCAACCGAGGAAUUGCCUUUGAAACUGCUUUGCUUGAGUCCGGGAGGGGGGAGCGGAAUUCCCAGUGUAGCGGUGAAAUGCGUAGAUACUGGGAGGAACACCGGUGGCGAAGGCGGCUCCCUGGACCGGUACUGACACUGAGGUGCGAAAGCGUGGGUAGCAAACAGGAUUAGAUACCCUGGGUAGUCCACGCCGUAAACGAUGGGCACUAGGUGCAGCGGGUGUCGACCCCCCUGCUGUGCCGUAGUUAACGCAUUAAGUGCCCCGCCUGGGGAGUACGGUCGCAAGGCUG
rnacentral:rRNA from 1 species